rnacentral:lncRNA from 1 species
GAGGCUAAUGACAUGAUCAGAGGCGUUUGCUGCCACUGCUGGCUUAUCUUCUGAGAGGAUACAAAAGCCCACCAUCCCCCAGAGACUGUGUUAACUUGGGAAAGCCACACACUUCUCAAAUCUUGGGCCCCUUUGUACCAUCACCAUGCUAAGGCCUUCUUGUUGCUGGUAUAGUAUUUUAGGAUGGAAAAGUAAACAAAAGGGUUUCCAAAUAUAUUUAUUUAUUUAUUUAUUUAUUUAUAAAUAGUGAUACAUCUUCAUCUUUAAUAAAGUACAUGUUUUAUACAGUUUUUUAAAAAGUCUUGCCCUAGCCGAGCACUGGUGGUGCAUACCUUUAAUCCCAGCACUCGGGAGGCAGAGGCAGGUAGAUUUCUGAGUUCAAGGCCAGCCUGGUCAGUGAGUUCCAGGACAGCCAGGGCUACACAGAGAAACCCUGUCUCGAAAAACAAAACAAAACAACAAAAAAAGUAUUGCUCUAAGGGACCAGCUCAAAUGUCUCCUCUCUCUGACACAGUACCCAUGUCUGUGUCACUCCAGUUACACCCGUGCAGUCUAGCAAACUGCUGGGGCAAUAACAGGCAGUAUUCUUAUGGAAAGAGCUACUUUUUCCUCUGAGAAAAUAAUAAUAGUAAGGAGGUGGCAUUGUUUUCUUUUUUCAUAUUUUCUUUACUUUCUGCAAGAUGGCUGGAUUUUCAUGUCUGCUACUUCAUUUAAUCUGUUAUGUCAUAUAGCAUAUAGUUUCUAGAAAACCAUGGGAGAAAUGAGAGUAGAAAAAGUUAUGUAUUCUGCAAACAGUAGGGCCUAGCAGGCCCUCCCGUAGGCGACAGGCUUCUCCCACUGUAAUUUGGGCGAGCGCUUCCCGGAGGUGUCCUUAAGAAUGCAGGGGAGCAGUGCUUGGUGUGCCCAGGCCUCUCAAGUGCUUUCCACAGCCACCUGUCACUGCGGGCACUUCCCCUACUGCUGCAAUUCCCACUUGCAUACCAGGAACUAAAGUGUGCCUGCUCACAUUGAAAUACCAAGGCGUGUGGUGACAGCAGGACUCGGCAGCCAGCCGGCUUUGUCUUCCUUUGCCAUGCCGCUGCAGCCAUAAGCUCCUGUGGCUUACGGCCCUGGGAGAGCAUCACAGUCAACACGACAUUCAAAUAUGACACGUCAGUUGUUCUUUCUUGCUCUGGUACUUGGAAUUGAUUAAUUGUUUUUUGUGUCAUUUACCAUUUCCGAUUCAUAACUUGUCAUUUGAAAACUCAUCAGGCUGGCCUGCUCAAUAAACUUGAUAGCUAAGCAUUCUACUCACUGUCUACAGUAGACAGCUAACAAUGCCUUUGGGAUUUCGUGGUAUGAUAACUGUAAGAAAAGCGAUUUAGAGGUACAACCUCACAAGCUUUAAGAAGAGUCCAUUUCUCCUAGGAAUUGCAGCAGCCUGGAGAAGGCUUUGCGUUUCAGCACAUGCACAGUGGAUAGGUAGUGUGCUUCCUGAAUUGCUGUGUCCAAGAACACCCCAGUCCCUCACAUUCUUGAAAAUAAAAGCCUUUUAAAACUUAGCUCCUUAGAGUGAAAGCCUCACAGCUGGUCUGACCCAGCCUUAGUCUCCCAAAAGUGUGAAUGUGUUUGCCCAUGCACCACCAGAGAGCAGCCGUGAGGUGAGCGAGUGUCCUCCGGGAAAGCAGGCUGCUCCUGCACUCAUUUGUUCACAGCACAUGCAUGCGGGCUUCUGCAGAGAGCCGACUGCUGAGUCCAUUCUGCAGGAUUGCCUGAGAGCAUGAGUCUACCAAAGUAUGUCAGCCUCCUUACUUUAAGAAAGAGAACUAUAAUUUCAAAUGCCAGGUGUACUAUUCCAGGUAGGAUGUGAGUCCUAGAAAUCCCUGCUCUGCCCUGCAGCUGCCUUGUCAAUUCUGUCGUGGCUUUUCAUGCUGAGCUGUCUCCUGUUUGAAUUAGUCAUUCUCAGUCCAUAUUAGAAUGUGUUUCUUUUUUAUUUGACAAAGACAGUAGCAACCAAAAAUGGAGGUAUCUCAUUAAAAUAGAAGCUUUGUGACACAGGAGUGGUCAGUAUGGUGACCAUAUUCAGGAAACUGAUGGGUAAACAGCAGUAACAGAAGCCACACACUCUGCUCCGGUUUCCUCAUCGCGCUCCUUCUGUCUGUCUUUUUAGGAGUCUUCUGAAGUCUGUUGAAGAGGAAUUACAUCAGCGGUAAUUACAACUUUUAAUUAAGCUUGAAGUACUUUAUGUCAGAGAUGAGAUAAACCAUUUCCCCUUGUCUGUCACGUGUGGUUUGUUAGUUUUAGUUGUUAGUCUGUCCUAUAAAGAUGCAGGCGUAAAGUCCUGUCGUGCAGUGGCCCUCUCCUGCAUCACUGCGACUGCUGCAAGGCCCACGUCUAACCAUGCUCCACUCUCUCUAGAGGACAUGUGGCACACUUAGAAGAUGACGAAGGCGACGAUGACGACUCUAAGCAGUAAGCUCUUGUUUGACUGGGGUUGUAGUUCUAGCAGCUCAGUAAUAGUUUUACAUCAGGAACGUGCUGUGUAGGUUGGACCACAUUCUCUGUGCUGUUGCUUUUCCAUUCCACUUGGCAUAAUCAGCUUCAGAUUGGGGUAACAACCUGAGUGGGCUAGACAGAAACUUAGUUCAGGACUAAGCUCUAUAUACCACAUCACGUAGGGAAUUCUCUCAUCAAUGUGUUAAUUUAAGGCGGUAAAAGUCAGUCUGCAAUGCUAAUUGAAGAUAUAGUAGUGGGAAAGAAAAGUCAUCAACAAAUACCAUUUGUAAUUGUAGUUUAGACUGUUAUUUCUCUCAUCACUGUGAUCUAAACACCAGUAAGGAAAGAGGUCUGCUGCGGCUCAUAGUUUCAGAGAAUAUGGUUGGUCAUAGUGAGGGAGGGCAUGGUGGCUGGAGCAGCCUGUUCUGUAUCAGUAGGGGCUUGCAGCUUUGAAUUCCCAUGUGGUACUAACCAGGAAGCAGAGAUGGGACUGGAGAGAAGAUCCAGUUAGGCUACGUUUAGCAGCCUCCACCACCCAAGCAUCAUGUCCCAGAGUCUACAGCCUCCCCAGGCCUGGUCAGCAGCUAGGGGUUAAGUAAGGCCCAGCAUGAGCCACUGGAGAAAGGUCCACGUAGAACCUUGUCAGUCAGUGUCAGUAACUGCUCUCAUUAGUGCCUUACUGAUUUCAUCUGAUGUGUUUGAAAUAAAAGAAAUGCUUUGGAUAUAACUUUUUAAAGAGAGAACACGUUUACAGAAGUUCAUUGGAAGGGAUAAGGCUCUGUGUGAAUUGGUUCUGGUUAAUAACGAAAGACAAUGCAGCCCAACAGUAGACAGCAGCACCAGGCUGGCAGGCACACAGCAGAGUUCCCGUGAUCCGCAUCCAGUCACCUUGUCUCUGUGGGCUUCAGAAAAACGUUGUGCUUGGUCACCCUUUGUUUCUGAAACGGAUUCUAAAUUAUAGUGAAUCUUAGCCUUAUUGAGAUUCUGCUGCCUGUCACUUCAUAGAAUAUAUGAAUACACAAAUGCACACACACACACACACACACACACAGAGUUUCAUUAAAGAUGUGUCAUAUCUAUUAGUAGCAAAAAUGAAAGGUUAGUAUUAUCACCAUGACGGAUCCAGAAUUGAGUGUCAGACAGGCCUCUGGGUAUGCCUGUGGUAGGUUAUCUUGAUUGGCUUAACUGGUCUGAGGAGACCAUCUAACUGGGGGAUGAGAGGACUCUGGACUGUAAAAUGGAGAGAGGAGGUGAACGUAGCUGAGCUCUGACUGAACUCCAGGGUGAGCAGCAGUUUCAGGUUCACAGUUUGCUUCCCUGCUGUGAUGGAAGGCACCUUGAGCAGUUGGCUUUGUUAGAACGCAGUCAUUGUAGUAGGAGAGACCACGACUCUGCUGUGUGCAGUGUAUGUAUACUCUUACCAUCCCCAGCCAAUGGCUGCCUAGACCCCCGUCUACCUUCUGAUGGAAAUAAAAGGGAGUUGUGGCCAUCUUUCCAUUUGGAUCUCUUACAGCAUUGAAAACCAAGAAAAUGCACAUCUCCCCACUUGUAAAUAGGUAGAAUUCAAUAGAAUUUGGACAUUUUACAAAAUACUCUG